rnacentral:rRNA from 1 species
UACGAAGGGUGCAAGCGUUGCUCGGAAUUAUUGGGCGUAAAGGGUAGGUAGGUGGUGGUAAAAGUCUGGAGUGAAAUCCCUGAGCUUAACUCAGGACGUGCUUUGGAAACUUUAUCACUAGAGUACUAGAGAGGUUCGUGGAAUUCCUGGUGUAGCGGUGAAAUGCGCAGAUAUCAGGAGGAACACCGGUGGCGAAGGCGGGUCUCUGGGCCGAUACUGACGCUGAGGAGCGAAAGCGUGGGGAGCGAACAGG